rnacentral:rRNA from 1 species
GGGUCAGUAGGUUGGUCGUGCCACCGGUACGUACUGGUCUCACUGAUUCCUCCUUCCUGAAGAACCGUAAUGCCAUUAAUUUGGUGUUGCGGGGAAACAGGACUGUUACUUUGAAAAAAUUAGAGUGUUUAAAGCAAGCUAACGCUUGAAUACAUUAGCAUGGAAUAAUGUAAUAGGACGAUCGGUCCUAUUCUGUUGGUUUCUAGGAUUGACGCA